GCCCACUAGAGGACAGACUAAACAUCCACAGGCCCACUAGAGGACAGACUAAUCAUCCACAGGCCCACUAGAGGGCAGACUAAUCAUCCACAGGCCCACUAGAGGACAGACUAAUCAUCCACAGGCCCACUAGAGGACAGACUAAACAUCCACAGGUCCACUAGAGGACAGACUAAUCAUCCACAGGCCCACUAGAGGACAGACUAAACAUCCACAGGUCCACUGGAGGCCCACUAGAGACAGACUAAUCAUCCACGGGCCCACUAGAGGACAGACUAAUCAUCCACAGGCCCACUAGAGGACAGACUAAACAUCCACAGGCCCACUAGAGGACAGACUAAACAUCCACAGGCCCACUAGAGGACAGACUAAUCAUCCACAGGCCCACUAGAGGACAGACUAAACAUCCACAGGCCCACUAGAGGACAGACUAAACAUCCACAGGCCCACUAGAGGACAGACUAAACAUCCACAGGCCCACUAGAGGACAGACUAAUCAUCCACAGGUCCACUAGAGGACAGACUAAUCAUCCACAGGCCCACUAGAGGACAGACUAAACAUCCACAGGCCCACUAGAGGA